GGGAAUGUGGCUUAGUGGUAGAGUGCUUGCCUACCAUGCAUGAAGCCCUGGGUUUGAUUCCCCAGUACCA
rnacentral:tRNA from 1 species